UUAUCAUAAUUUUAAAAUAAUUUACAGAAUGUUAUAAAUUAUUAAUAAAAUUAAAUUUACUUUAUAUUGAAUAUUUGUUUAUUGUUAAAUAUUUUUUAGAAUUUCUUUUUGAUUUAUAUUUUCCAUCGACACUAUUAAAAAGGAAAGCCCUCUAAAUACUUACCUUAUUUUGUAAUUUCGAUAUAUCAUUUAAUUCAUCGAUCCCACUAUAAUAGGAAAUUACCAUUGAAUACUAAUUGCAAGGAAAAACAUAAUUUAAUGAGCAAUUAACAUCACUUUCCAAAUGACUUACAUAAUAUUAUUAAUAACUAUUUAUGAUAACUAAUUGUCGAAAAUAUGGUAUAUAAAUUCAUUUUAUUAAUUCAAAUAAAUAAUUUGGAUUCCAAAUGACUUACAUAAUAUUAUUAAUAACUAUUUAUGGUAACUAAUUGUCGAAAGUAUGGUAUAUAAAGUCAUUUUAUCAAUUCAAGUAAAUAUUUUGGUUUAUUAUUUUAUGUAGUCUAUAGAUAUAUUAGAAUAUAAAGUCAUUUUAUCAAAUCAAAUAAUUUAUUUUAAUUCAUCGAUCCCCUAUAAAAGGAAAGUAACAUUGAAUACUGAUUGAAAAGGAAAAAAUAAUUUAAUCCCUCUAUUAACAUUACUUGCGCAACAAUAUUAGUUAAUACAUGUAAUAAUUAGUUUCUUUAUUACAAAUGGAAAGAAUUCUCUUGAUUUUGUUGAUUGAUUUUUUAGAAUUUUUUUUUCGAUUUAUUUUAAUCAUCGACACUACUAAAAAUGAAAUCACUUUAAUACUUAACUUUUGUGUUUUCUCGAUUCAAAGAACAUCUUUUUGCGAUCAUUUCUCUGUUUAAUUCAUUAAAUACUCACUAAAUAUUUUAGAUGUUAGAGAAACAAAAUUAAUUGACAAGAUAUUUUCUCUCCUAAAAUCAUGCAUUUAAAACUUAAUAUUUAUGGUGAGACUUGUCAACCAAAAUUCUGGUGCAAUCUAUUCACGAGAUGUUCUCCUUUAGCCUUAUUAACAAGAUAUUCCAAAAAUAAUAUUACCUUAUAAGUAUAAGAUUUAUUGAGAAUUUAUUAAAUAAUAUUCUACUUCUUAGCUUAUCAUGCAAGCUAAAUCAAUGAGAAACGUCUACCAAUUUACUAUAAAUAAAACAUUCACAGUAGAAGAAACGAAAUAAUUGAACUUUGUAUUCUGAACUUUUAAUGUUAAUAAUGUUCUGAACUUUUUUUUCUUCUUAUUUUAGAACAUUAAGCUUUUAUAUUUCAUGAGAGCUGAUUUUUCUUUUGGUUUAUAUGCAGAUACCCUAUUAUGACGAUUUCUCCACUGAAGCUAUAUAUGAUUUGAUUGUACACAUCUUUGAUAUAUCAUUUCGAUAACAUCUUUGUUCCUCAAUCUGGUAAAAAAAUUUUACUCAAUUUGAUAACAUCUCUCAGCUAAAUCAUUUCAAUAGCAUCUUUUUGUGCUGCGAAUAUUUUUCUUUUUUUGAUUUGUAGAUUUAUAUUAUUGUUUAGAAGUAUAAGCUUAUAUAUACACAUAUUUGUUUUUUGGUUUGCUGAUUGUGAUUUUGUUUUAUAUUUUUUCAGAGAUGAUUUGAGAGAAGUGGUCAUAUUUCAGACCUCUAAGAGUUCACCAUUCCGAUCCUGCAAAAGAUGUGCACUUAGAAUGGCUUGAGUUUAUCAGAAGAUCAAAUUAAGAGUUUAUCUUUGGCGGAGAUUGAAUCAAUCAUGCGUUUGAACGGAAGCUCAUUUACAUUGUUUAAGUUUUGAAACGUGUUAUCAAUAGUAUACUCUUCUAUUGGUUAAGAUGUGGCUUUUGUUAGAUUUUCUAUUAAUUAAUUUUUUUUGUUUUACUUUUGUGGAAUUCGCGAUAUUGUAAUGUUGUAAAUCAAUAAUAAAGACAUUUUUCUCACUA